rnacentral:rRNA from 1 species
CGCGAACGGUUUCUUCGGAAACCUAGUAGAGUGGCGCACGGGUGAGUAACGCGUAAGUAAUCUAUCCCGGCAUCUGGAAUAACUCACCGAAAGGUGUGCUAAUACCGGAUACGCUGAGCAAUCAGGAAAGGUGGCCUCUGUCUCAAGCUACCGUGUUGGGAGGAGCUUGCGUACCAUUAGCUUGUUGGUGGGGUAAUGGCCUACCAAGGCGACGAUGGUUAGCGGGUCUGAGAGGAUGAUCCGCCACACUGGAACUGGAACACGGACCAGACUCCUACGGGAGGCGGCAGUGAGGAAUAUUGCGCAAUGGGGGAAACCCUGACGCAGCGACGCCGCGUGGAUGAUGAAGGCCUUCGGGUCGUAAAAUCCUGUCAGAUGGAAAGAAAUGCCAUAUGCCUAAUAUGUGUAUGGUUUGACGGUACCAUCAAAGGAAGCACCGGCUAACUCCGUGCCAGCAGCCGCGGUAAUACGGAGGGUGCAAGCGUUGUUCGGAAUUACUGGGCGUAAAGCGCGCGUAGGCGGCUCUUUAAGUCAGAUGUGAAAGUCCACGGCUCAACCGUGGAAGUGCAUUUGAUACUGGAGGGCUUGAGUACUGGAGGGGAUGGUGGAAUUCCCGGUGUAGAGGUGAAAUUCGUAGAUAUCGGGAGGAAUACCGGUGGCGAAGGCGACCAUCUGGCC